GCAGCGGUGGUCUAGUGGUCAAGACAGCACACAAAUAUGUCUUGCAAACACAAGCACGUAGGGGAGAUCCCAGAGCUGAGCUCGUUAUUUCCCUAGCAAUGUGGAUAUCGUGGGUUCGAAUCCUACUCGUUGCA
rnacentral:tRNA from 1 species